rnacentral:rRNA from 1 species
CAGUAGCCACGGUAAUACAGAGGGUGCAAGCGUUAAUCGGAAUUACUGGGCGUAAAGCGCGCGUAGGUGGUUUGUUAAGUUGGAUGUGAAAUCCCCGGGCUCAACCUGGGAACUGCAUCCAAAACUGGCAGGCUAGAGUAGGGCAGAGGGUGGUGGAAUUUCCUGUGUAGCGGUGAAAUGCGUAGAUAUAGGAAGGAACACCAGUGGCGAAGGCGACCACCUGGACUGAUACUGACACUGAGGUGCGAAAGCGUGGGGAGCAAACAGGAUUAGAUACCCCAGUAGUCCCUGUCUCUUAUAC